AACUAACGCUGGCGGCGUGCCUAACACAUGCAAGUCGUACGAGAAAGCCGGCUUCGGCUGGUGAGUAAAGUGGCGCACGGGUGAGUAACGCGUGGAUAAUCUGCCCUUAAGUGUGGAAUAACGUACCGAAAGGUGCGCUAAUACCGCAUAAUGCCUGGCAACACAAGUUGUCCGGCCAAAGAAGGCCUCUGUUUACAAGCUUUCGCUUCAGGAUGAGUCCGCGUACCAUUAGCUUGUUGGUGGGGUAAUGGCCUACCAAGGCUGCGAUGGUUAGCUGGUCUGAGAGGAUGAUCAGCCACACUGGAACUGAGACACGGUCCAGACUCCUACGGGAGGCAGCAGUGAGGAAUAUUGCGCAAUGGGGGCAACCCUGACGCAGCAACGCCGCGUGAGUGAGGAAGUUUUCGGACUGUAAAGCUCUGUCGAGCGGGAAGAAGUGUACCAUGGCUAAUAUCCAUGAUAUUUGACGGUACCG
rnacentral:rRNA from 1 species